rnacentral:rRNA from 1 species
UACGGGGGGGACUAGUGUUAUUCGGAAUGACUGGGCGUAAAGGGUGUGUAGGCGGUCUUGUAAGUUGAAAGUGAAAUCUCAAAGCUUAACUUUGAAAGUGCUUUCAAAACUGCUCGACUAGAGUGUGAGAGAGGAUAGUGGAAUUUCUAGUGUAGAAAUAAAAUCCAUAGAGAUUAGAAGGAACACCGAAAGCGAAGGCAACUAUCUGGCUCAAAACUGACGCUGAUACACGAAAGCAUGGGGAGCAAACAGG